rnacentral:rRNA from 1 species
UACGGGGGGUGCGAGCGUUGUCCGGAAUCACUGGGCGGAAAGGGCGCGUAGGUGGCGUCGUAAGUUUGUGGUGAAAGCCCGGAGCUCAACUCCGGGUCUGCCGCGAAUACUGCGAGGCUUGAGUACUGUAGAGGGGGGUAGAAUAUCGGGUGUAGCGGUGGAAUGCGUAGAGAUCCGAUAGAAGACCGGUGGCGAAGGCGGCCCCCUGGGCAGUAACUGACACUGAGGCGCGACAGCGUGGGGAGCAAACAGG